UACGGAGGGUGCAAGCGUUAUCCGGAUUCACUGGGUUUAAAGGGAGCGUAGGUGGCUUUGUAAGUCAGUGGUGAAAUAUUGCGGCUCAACCGCAAAACUGCCAUUGAUACUGCUUAGCUUGAAUCACGUCGAGGUGGAUGGAAUAAUACAUGUAGCGGUGAAAUGCUUAGAUAUGUAUUAGAACACCGAUUGCGAAGGCAGUUCACUAGGCGUGUAUUGACACUGAGGCUCGAAAGCGUGGGGAUCAAACAGGAGUUAAGAAACCCUU
rnacentral:rRNA from 1 species